GCUGGCAAGACAAGCUCUCCUUGCCAACUGUGCAAGCAAGCAAUGAAGCUAUAGCGAACCGAGCCUAUACUAUCAACAUGCCGUCGAGAAAUCCCUGGACUCGGGCAAAUACCCUGAGUUUAGAAACCGUAUGGACAAAGAAUCGUACUAGUUGGCCCUUUCAAUCUUCAACUGAAAAAGCUGUCAUUUACGCCUUCGGAACGUCGAUUUUAACAUGUUUGCAUUGGUUAUACAUCAGAAUGUUUUGUUUUCCUUCCUUUUUUAAGCACUGGAAGGCGGCGUUCUCGCUUUUACGACCACUAGCAUAUCCCAUGCAUGUCAUGUACAGGAGUUCUAAAUGACGCAUCACACUGGCGACAUGAUGGGUGCUGGAAUUUGCAUGCAUAUUGAGCUCAUUUUAGUUUUGGAUGGACUUAUAUUGAGGAUGCACAUUUGCUUCCAUCGUAGGUAAACCAUCCACUAGGAAACUUGUCUGUUUGUUUCUGAUGAUUCUACGUAUAUCUUUAUUUCUUGGAAAUGUAAAUCCCCUCUUUCAUUUUUUCCCUUGUCAUUUCAUUUACUCCUUUCAUUUGAUAUGUGCUUUUUCUUCUUUGCUUGACUAUAAUUGUAAUGGUUAAUCUAUUAUUGCAUUAUUGCUAUCAAUAUGUUCUUUGUAUAUAUCUUCUUGGGUCAUAUACAAAGGAGACCACAACUAUAAUGUGGAUAUUCUUCAAUA